AGCAGCCGCGGUAAUUCCAGCUCCAAUAGCGUAUAUUAAAGUUGUUGCAGUUAAAAAGCUCGUAGUUGAAUUUCGGGAUCAGUAUGUUGGUCGUGCUUCGGUACGUACUGUCAUUACUGGUUUCUACCUUCUGAAGAACCUUGAUGUCAUUAAUUUGGUGUCUUGGGGAAUCAGGACUGUUACUUUGAAAAAAUUAGAGUGUUUAAAGCAAGCAUACGCUUGAAUACAUUAGCAUGGAAUAAUGAAAUAGGACGUUUGAUUCUAUUUUGUUGGUUUCUAGGAUCGACGUAAUGAUUAAUAGGGAUAGUUGGGGGCAUUAGUAUUCAAUUGUCAGAGGUGAAAUUCUUGGAUUUAUUGAAGACUAACUACUGCGAAAGCAUUUGCCAAGGAUGUUUUCAUUAAUCAAGAACGAAAGUUAGGGGAUCGAAGACGAUCAGAUACCGUCGUAGUCUUAACCAUAAACUAUGCCGACUAGGGAUCGGAUGAUGUUAUUUUUAA
rnacentral:rRNA from 1 species